CGAUUGAAUGGCUUAGUGAGGCCUCUGGAUUAAGUUUUAAGCUGGGGCAACCCGGGUUAAUGCUGAGAAACUGGUCAAACUUGGUCAUUUAGAGGAAGUAAAAGUCGUAACAAGGUUUCCGUAGGUGAACCUGCGGAAGGAUCAUUAAGAAAAAACAAUACACUCUUUUUAGGAAAACAAACAAAACAUUUUAUUUCAACAACAAUUAAAAAAAAACUUUCAACAACGGAUCUCUUGGUUCUCGCAUCGAUGAAGAACGCAGCGAAUUGCGAUACGUAAUAUGACUUGCAGACGUGAAUCAUUGAAUUUUUGAACGCACAUUGCGCCUUAAGGUAUUCCUCAAGGCAUGCGUGGAUGAGCGAUAUUUACUCUCAAACCUCUUGGUUUGGUCUUGACUCCAGGUCUAAAUAUCAAAUGUCUCUAGAAUAAGUUUUAGAUUCUCCCAAUCCUUCCUCAUCUUCGUAAGAAUACCCGCUGAACUUUAGCAUAUCAAUUAGCGGAAG
rnacentral:rRNA from 1 species